AUUGAACGCUGGCGGCAUGCUUUACACAUGCAAGUCGAACGGCAGCGCGGGCUUCGGCCUGGCGGCGAGUGGCGAACGGGUGAGUAAUACAUCGGAACUUGCCCAGUAGUCGGGGAUAGCUCGGCGAAAGCCGGAUUAAUACCGCAUACGACCUGAGGGUGAAAGCGGGGGAUCUUCGGACCUCGCGCUAUUUGAGCGGCCGAUGGCAGAUUAGCUAGUUGGUGGGGUAAAGGCCUACCAAGGCGACGAUCUGUAGCUGGUCUGAGAGGACGACCAGCCACACUGGGACGGAGACACGGACCAGACUCCUACGGGAGGCAGCAGUGGGGAAUUUUGGACAAUGGGCGAAAGCCUGAUCCAGCAAUGCCGCGUGUGUGAUGAAGGACUUCGGGUUGUAAAGCACUUUUGGCGGGAACGAAAAGGACUGUGCCAAUACCACGGUUCGAUGACGGUACCCGCAGAAUAAGCACCGGCUAACUACGUG
rnacentral:rRNA from 1 species